GGGUGGAUGACUUGAAGGUGUGAUGUCAAACCGUGAAGCCAGGACCCAAGUGGAGAGAAGACAUUGAUCCAAAUUGCUUUUGGAGGCCAGAGUUUCUACAGCUGGAGUUACAGGCAGUUGUGAGCUGCCUGAUAUGGGUGCUGGAAAUCCAACCUGGGCCCUCUGCAAGAGCACUGAGUAGUCUCAGCCAAGGAAUAACCUCUUUAGACCCCCCUGCAGGAUUCAGUUGCUGUUUCCCAUUUGAGCAGAAGACUGUGAUCUACUCAGGGCUUGUGAGACAUCUCAGUGAGGAGAAGGGCUUGCCAAGCUUGAAGAUUCAAGCUCAGUCCCUGGAGCUUGCAUGGUGGAAGGAGAGAACCAACUUCCAGAAGUGUCACCUGGGAUUGACAGCUCAGCCUGAACUCUACCUUCUGAACGCCGUGGAUGCUAACUCAUUUGUGUCUAGAUGAUGAACAGCCCGAGAGACUUUAAGAAUGCUUUUCCUCAGCCCUUUUGUGCCAAGUGUCUGUUAGCCAAUCUCAGUUAGUUCAGAGGUGAACUUGUUGAGAUGUUUUGAACAAAGGCAGAGAUUUCCUCGUGAGAUCCAGGGUAAAGGCUAAGAGCUGUGCAUGGGUCCUAGCCCCGCUAACCUCCAGCAGUCAGACAGUAGGGAGUGGUAAACAGUGGCAGUGGGCAGCCGUGCUCCCCACCGUGCUCCCCCACAGGCUCGUGCCUGCACUUCUGGGAAUUAAAAAUGUAUGAACAUGUAUUUAUGUAAACCCAAACAUGCCAGUUUGGGUAAGAUUUUAAGGUUAUAAAAACUGAUAGAUUUUUUU